rnacentral:misc_RNA from 1 species
UGCUCUUGCUUCCCCUUCAAAAAACAACUGGAAGAAAAAUAAUAUUUGGUUAACAGUCCAAUAUCUUACAUGCAUCCUAGUACAUUUGAACAUCCAAAGAAUGUACCUAGCAUCUAGCAUCUUCCAUACAUGAAGUUGAUAUUGAAGUGCUCAUAGCCUCAUACUCUCAAAGAAUUGAGAACCAAGGAGUCAGCUUCCGUCCUUUAAGAAUAAAAGCUGCACUGCCAGAUAUGGAAUUACACCUUGACACCCCAUAUCAGCCAAGGCAUCAGAAAAAAAGUCAAUAUGGGUUGAGCUCCAUCCCAAAAUAGUGGCACCUCAUUUUAUAAAUAGUCAAACAUUUCUUGAUGCCACCAAUUGAUUCCUUCAAACAUGUAAGAUGGUGGAUUAAGGGUAUGAUCGCCCACUUCUUACUCAAAAGCACCCAUCUCCCAGCAAGAAAUCACAGGAGCAAAUCUAAUUAGAACAGAUCUAUUGCAAAAGCAGUAUCCUUGUUCAUCCAGUCAAAGCAUCCAACAUAAACAGCGACUUUCAGCUUGUUUUGUGUUCUGUUUAGCAAAUGCAAUCAGUGCAAGGAGCUACAGUUGGGCACUUGUUUCAAAUUGUGUUUAGCAGAUGCA